UACGUAGGUGGCAAGCGUUGUCCGGAUUUACUGGGCGUAAAGGGCGUGCAGGCGGUUUGUUAAGUGCAGAGUGAAAGCUCCCGGCUCAACUGGGAGAGGUCUUUGCAUACUGGCAAACUCGAGGGAGGCAGAGGAAAGUGGAAUUCCCGGUGUAGUGGUGAUAUGCGUAGAUAUCGGGAGGAACACCUGUGGCGAAGGCGGCUUCUGGGCCUUAACUGACGCUGAGGCGCGAAAGCAUGGGGAGCGAACGGG
rnacentral:rRNA from 1 species